rnacentral:lncRNA from 1 species
CUUAGGAUUUAGGAAUUAUUAGGGUUUAAGAUUUAAUUAGGUUUGGUCUAAAGUUGAGUGAAAUUCAAUAGGGUUUUAAUUAGAAUUAAAUUAAGGUUGAAUUGAUAUAUAUUUGAGUAAAAUUUGUGAUCAUUCUAAUAUUUCUUUAAGAAUUUUAUUGUUUGUUUGAAAUUUCUUUGAGUUGUUUUGAAUUUGAUUACGUUUGUUUACCAUUAUUAUAGUCUAAUUAGAGCAUUAUUAGUAUUCUAUUUAGGAUUUUGUUAUCACAAUUUCUAUUCUUCCUUCUACAACCAGGUGUGCGGAGCAUUCUCAAGCAAGACUUCACACAUUACGACAACGGUUAGAAUCUGGAGAAUCAAAGAAAAGUAUAUAGGAGUUGUAUAAGUUAAUUAAGGUGCCAUCGCUUUGAUAGUUAAGAGCCGGGGUAAGCUUGGUGCUACCUCUUUUCUUUUGUUUGUUAUUUUCUUUGAAUAAGAGGAUUGAAAGUUUCUGAAUAUUGUGAAGUGAAUUAUGGAAUAGAAAUGUGAUUGGUAUUAUUUGAGAAGAAGAAAGAUUGAAUGCUGAAAUCUGAUUGUAAUUCAGCAGAGAGAAUGAGUCUGUGUUUGUGUGAAACACUGUAAUGUGAAUGGCAGUUCUAUGUGAAGAAUUCCAGUGAUUGGAAUGAGGGUAAUUGUGUACUAAAAGCUGUGAGGGCGCAAUAUUAUAGUUGGAGAUUAUGAGGGUGAAUAUAUUGGUGGAAAUAGCAGUUAUUGAUAUGACUGAAUUGCUGUAGGGAAGAGACCGAUAAGGUGAAGGAGGAGAUUAUAGUUUCCUUGUGUGUUCAGAUAUUGGAAAUAGAGACGAUACAUUCAAGAGGUAAUUGAUUGUGUGACCUUAACGUGAACGCUUAAGCAACUA